rnacentral:piRNA from 1 species
GAAUUGUGAAUGGGGAGACAUGG